rnacentral:lncRNA from 1 species
UUAACUACAGUAUAUAAUUCAAUUUGCUAUGUUAAAGAGGCGACUGUUCGGGGUAUUUCAAAUCAAGCUCAAAGUUGGAGUUCUCGAGAGAGGAAAGAGCGGGCCAUUGAAUGCAGGAAAGGAUCUGGAAAGUCAAUCUGCGGAUAGAAAAGGAAAAUCUGAGAUUCGGAAGUUGAUUUCUCACAGCUCUGGGUCGAGAUUUGUGAUUCUGGACUCUGAAAUGGAGGAAGACGGACAGGAAAGGAAUAAUGUCGAUGGAAGAAGAUCUCCUCCAAAAUUGAAGCGGAAAUUAAGCGUCAAUCUAUCUUCAUAAUUGAAGCGGAAAUAGAACAGCAAUAACUUUCCAGAAAAGGCAGAAGAUAUCAUGCACCAGACUCCUCCAAAAUUGAGGUUGAUUCCGCACUAGAACGAGAUUUUCCAAAAAUGCAGCAGAUAUCAUCCACCAGAUCUUCUCCAACAUUGAGGUCGAUUCCGCGACAGAACAAGAUUCAAACGGAGCAGCAACAAAUUUCCAAAAAAUGCAGCAGAUAUCAUGCACCAGAUCUCCUCCAAAAUUGAGUUUGAUUCCGCGCCAGAGCAAGAAGAUUCAAACGGAGCAGCAACAACUUUCCAAAAGGCAGCAGAUAUGAUUCCGUGCCAGAGCAAGAUACGUUUUCUUCUAUUCAAGUUUAUUUUGAGUUUUAUAUAGAACAAUUAAUUAUACCUUGAGUAGUUCCUCUCAUGCUACAAAUGAUUUUUAUAUAUGUAAAUUAUAAUUAAACAUAAUUUAAUAUAAUAAUAAAAUCUCAAAUUAUCUCA